rnacentral:rRNA from 1 species
CUCAACCCUGGGAUUGCUUUGGAUACUGCCUAACUAGAGUUCGGAAGAGGAGAGUGGAAUUCCUGGUGUAGCGGUGAAAUGCGUAGAUAUCAGGAGGAACACCUGUGGCGAAAGCGACUCUCUGGUCCGAUACUGACGCUGAGGCCCGAAAGCGUGGGGAGCGAACAGGAUUAGAUACCCUGGUAGUCCACGCCGUAAACGUUGUGCACUAGGUGUGGGAGGACAUCGACCCCUUCCGUGCCGCAGCUAACGCAUUAAGUGCACCGCCUGGGGAGUACGCCCGCAAGGGUGAAACUCAAAGGAGUUGACGGGGGCCCGCACAAGCGGUGGAGCAUGUGGUUUAAUUCGAUGCAACGCGAAGAACCUCACCCAGGCUUGACAUCCCGGGAAGUUUUGGGAAACCAAUUCGUGCCCUUCGGGGAACCC